UUAAACAACACUUGCGGUGAAAAUAUGAAGUGUUUAUUCUGAGUUGAAAAGACCGUACUUAUAUCUAGUAUUCUUAAUGUAAUUUAAAUAAUGUAUUCCUUUACUAACUGCAUGUGACUUUGCUCUACUUAUAUUGUUUAAUACGUACUGAUGAAUUCAGCAGCGAAUUGGCUAAUGCUGCUAAUGCUUUUUACAUUUUUUUUUCACAAUGAACAGUCUUCUUUGUGUAGUUUUCAUUAUAUUGCACUCUUAUUUUUCAUUAUGUACAUGCCUGCAAUUCGCAGCUCGCUGUUUUUGUUGUUGUAUGGUGUUGUUGUUUUGCCUUCAUUUGUUUUUUCUGGUCCUUUGUCGUUUGAAUGUUGUCACAUGAUCCAAAUAGGACAAGGUUGUAAUUUUUUUUUCUUGAUAUUGUUACUCUGCUUAGCUAUAUAUUUUUUCAUUAUUUUGUUUUUUUUUACUAGCUCCAAGAUCACCACCCCAUUGGGAAGAAACUAAAUCACGACCCCCAAAUGGUAUUCUUCCCAUGCAGAUACAGGGAUGUCACACAGAUCCAAAUGGAAACAUCGAACACAGUAAAACCCACGUGGCAGACAGGACCAAUGGUGACAAUAUAAGACCAUGCCGAGCUUCAUGGACGGUUCAAACUCAUCCUGCCCAGGAACGGCUGAAAACGUUGACAGUCAAUCAACAGGGGGACAUGGAAAGAGAGGAUUGGAAGUGAAAUAGAGGGUUUUCCGGGACAGCCAUAGGGGAAGGACUGUGGCAUCUUCAUGUUGAUGGUAGACUGAUAUGCCAACUCUGAGGAAGUGGUGGUGUAUAUUGCUAGCGGACAAUUUCAAACUUGGGUGCAUGCCACAGGAAAGAGUUUGCCCAUUGGACAGAUGAGGCAAAAGCAUUACUGCAGGGUGAAGUGCCACCAGUCUAUCAGUUACAGAAGUGAAAUUCGAAUAUAAUUGCUGAGGAAGAGGUGCAACCACAGCUCCUUCAAGUUAGUGGUGGCCCACUCCAAAAAGAUAUGGCGGGAAAAAAUGUUUUGGUAAAAGGAUUGUGCAAGACAGCACAAAAGCCUCGGACAGGGCUAGGGGGGGGGAAAAAAAAUCAAUGCAGUAGGAGUUCCCAAGCAUCCUGCAGAUGGAAGAGGAUGAGCACGAACUACAAUGUCUUGGAGCCAUUCAAGUUCUGUUUCAACCAUCUGGAAGAUGGAUUUACCUUUUUUGAGGAGAUUGUUGACUAAAGAAAAUAUCUAUUCUCUCGAUAAUAAUAAAAAAUAAUAAAACUAAAAAAAAUAAAGUUUA